GACGAACUGUCCUAACGUUGUUCGGAAUCACUGGGCUUAAAGGGCGCGUAGGCGGUCCGACAAGUCAGGGGUGAAAUCCUGCAGCUUAACUGUAGAAGUGCCUCUGAUACUGUCGGUCUUGAGGGAGAUAGGGGUGUGCGGAACUUCCAGUGGAGCGGUGAAAUGCGUUGAUAUUGGAAGGAACGCCGGAGGCGAAGGCGGCAUCCUGGACCAUUACUGACGCUGAGGCGCGAAAGCUAGGGGAGCAAACGGG
rnacentral:rRNA from 1 species